rnacentral:rRNA from 1 species
AGCGUAGGUGGCCUAACAUGUCAACUGUGAAACCCGGAGCUCAACUCCGGACUUGCAGUUGAAACUGGUAGGCUUGAGGACGGUAGAGGAAGACGGAACUGCCAGUGUAGGGGUAAAAUCCUUAGAUAUUGGCAGGAACGCCGGUGACGAAGGUGGUUUUCUGGGCCGGUUCUGACACUGAUGCUCGAAAGCCAGGGGAGCGAACGG